UGUGGGCCUCAGUGAUGUGCUGCUA
rnacentral:piRNA from 1 species